CCUACGGGAGGCAGCAGUGGGGAAUUUUGGACAAUGGGCGAAAGCCUGAUCCAGCAAUGCCGCGUGAGUGAAGAAGGCCUUCGGGUUGUAAAGCUCUUUUGUCAGGGAAGAAACGGUGAGAGCUAAUAUCUCUUGCUAAUGACGGUACCUGAAGAAUAAGCACCGGCUAACUACGUGCCAGCAGCCGCGGUAAUACGUAGGGUGCAAGCGUUAAUCGGAAUUACUGGGCGUAAAGCGUGCGCAGGCGGUUUUGUAAGUCUGAUGUGAAAUCCCCGGGCUCAACCUGGGAAUUGCAUUGGAGACUGCAAGGCUAGAAUCUGGCAGAGGGGGGUAGAAUUCCACGUGUAGCAGUGAAAUGCGUAGAUAUGUGGAGGAACACCGAUGGCGAAGGCAGCCCCCUGGGUCAAGAUUGACGCUCAUGCACGAAAGCGUGGGGAGCAAACAGGAUUAGAUACCCUGGUAGUCCACGCCCUAAACGAUGUCUACUAGUUGUCGGGUCUUAAUUGACUUGGUAACGCAGCUAACGCGUGAAGUAGACCGCCUGGGGAGUUCGGUUGCAAGNUUAAAACUUCAAAUUGAAUUGACGG
rnacentral:rRNA from 1 species